CGUCUCCUUAUUGGUCCACAAUGCCACUCCAUGAUGGCAGGACUCCAGAGGCCUGGACCCGUGACAGCAGCGACCAGGAGCUGAUCAAUAAGUGUGCAUCCUCCCCUCAGCUGAUCAAUAAGAAGCUGACGUCAGGAGGUGUCACCAUGUCUGCAGAGAAG